AUAAGAAUUACCCAGGGAUCUCGUUAAAAUUCAGAUUCUGAUUCAGAAGGUCUAGGUUAGGGCCUGAGAUUCUGAAUUUCUAACAAUCUCCCAGACAGUUUUGUU
rnacentral:pre_miRNA from 1 species